GUGUCGGAAAUUCCGACCGCCCUCCUCCGGGCGGGCUCCCGCCGGCAGCGAACCGCGCGCGGUCUCUCUUUCUGGAAUGGGUGGCGUCCCGCGGGCAGCUGCACAUUCGCAGCAGACCCGGCCGAGCCCCGGACCUUCAAAGGAAGACUGCCAGGGCCUCCUCGAACCGCAAAGAUGACACAAUUGCCUGAGCUCUUGGUCGGGGCUGCUCUGGGUGGGGUGUGUACCCAAGGGCGUCUUAGAAGCUGAGGGGGCGUUCCUGCAGGGCAGACGGUGUAGAAAACAGGAAAUAGCGCCCGAGGUGGGGUUCCUCGGGGACUAGAGGUGGCACCGAGAGCAGACCUUCCGUCUGGAUGGGCACAGGGGCAUCCGGCCGAAACGCCCGGCGGCAGCGGCCUCCAGACUUACAUUUUAAUGCAGGAGACCCUCUCCCCUCGGGGCGACAUUACACGGGGCAGAAGCAAAGCAGAGCUCAGGAAGGCCGGCAUCCAGGCGCCUCACGCCGCAGCUCCGCUUCCUCCUCCGCUCUGCUCGGCCCUCUCCGCCCUGGGGUGUGUCUUGCAAGAUGAUUUAAGAAGCGCUGUCUUAGGGCGUAGGUGUUAGAUGCCGUGGGAGCAACCCUCCUUGUUUAACCAGUGCUGUCCUGAAGGGCCGUGGAGCAGCUGCCGUGAUGACAAGGCUGGCGGCCCCUCACUGUGGUGGAAGGAAGCUCGCAGUGCGGCGAGCCAAGAGCAGAAGCAGCAGGCGCUCGUCUGUGUCUGUGCCUGCACUUCUCCAGGGGCUAUUGCAAGAGCUUAGUGCAGCGACUGCUGUGUUUGAUCCUCCCAACAAAACAGGGAGCCCACCACUGCCAUGCGCCCCACCAGUCUCAUCAGCCCGGAGGUAACAGAGACGCAGAGACGUGAUUGGUCCAGGGUCCGCACGGCCGAUGACGCCGAGAGCCAGGACUCGAAGCCCAGAAUGCUGGUUGAAGUGUUCCUGUUUUAGGCAUCUUUCUGCAGUGUCUCUGUGUCACUUUGAAAAACGGUAUCAGCUCUCUAUUCCCAGAUAGGCUUCUGGAAAGAUCUAGACUAAAACAUUAAAAAUGAUUAUGUCUAGAAUUACA